AAGAUAGGCGUUCUAUAAGUAUUAUAAUUUUAAUAAAAAAAAAGUUGAACGUAUCAUUUACUUCCCACAUCCCGCCUAACCCUAAUAUAUACUAGUACUUUGUAUACCAAUAGAGCCGCUCCCUUUCUACCAUCUUCUAGCUCUUUCUCACUUCCUUUAUUUCUUAUCAAAUAUUAAGAUCUUCCUGGCUCCCUCCUCUCUCUCUCUCUCUCUCAUCGUCCCCCUCAUCCUCUAUCUACAAAUCCCAAGCAACACCAUCGUUCAGCUUCCCACGCCUACAAGUACACCACCUAUCAACAUUUUCAUGCCCACCAUUAAGCCACUAGCCACCGUUGAGCAACGUUCGUCCACCACCGAGCUACGAGCCAUCGUAGACCCACGAGCGUCUAACGACGGGACACCAUUGAGCCAUGAGAUGUCGAUCUGAGCCUUUAAUUGGUCAAGGUUAUUGAACUUCAGAUCUGAGCCCUCAUCCUCUAUACUUCAAUAUUUACAACAAGCAGAUAUGAGUGGACAUGAACCGAUAGAACAAUUCUCGAGACAAUGCGAAGACGCAGCAAUGCUACUGCAUAACAUUAAAAUUGAUCUUAAAUUGUAUGAUUUGUGUUAUAUUUAGUUUUUAAUUGUAUUUGAGUUUUUCUAUGUACAUGUAUUUUUUUAUUAAUUGAAGUUAUAAUGAGAAACUAUACUUUUGGUGUU